UGGUAAUGAUGGCAGAGAGGUCACACCCGUUCCCAUACCGAACACGGAAGUUUAAGCUCUCUAGCGCCGAUGGUAGUUGGGACCUUGUCCCUGUGAGAGUAGGACGUUGCCAGGCA
rnacentral:rRNA from 1 species